rnacentral:rRNA from 1 species
GUCUAGGACCAUACCACCCUGAAUACACCUGGUCUCAUCUGAUCAUAGAAGUUAAGGAGGGUCAGUCCUGGUCAAUACUUAGAUGGGACACCAAGCAUUUCUAUCAU